rnacentral:rRNA from 1 species
GAUGAACGCUGGCGGCGUGCCUAAUACAUGCAAGUCGAGCGAAUGGAUUAAGAGCUUGCUCUUAUGAAGUUAGCGGCGGACGGGUGAGUAACACGUGGGUAACCUGCCCAUAAGACUGGGAUAACUCCGGGAAACCGGAGCUAAUACCGGAUAACAUUUUGAACCGCAUGGUUCGAAAUUGAAAGGCGGCUUCGGCUGUCACUUAUGGAUGGACCCGGGUCGCAUUAGCUAGUUGGUGAGGUAACGGAUCACCAAGGCAACGAUGCGUAGCCGACCUGAGAGGGUGAUCGGCCACACUGGGACUGAGACACGGCCCAGACCCCUACGGGAGGCAGCAGUAGGGAAUCUUCCGCAAUGGACGAAAGUCUGACGGAGCAACGCCGCGUGAGUGGUGAAGGCUUUCGGGUCGUAAAACUCUGUUGUUAGGGAAGAACAAGUGCUAGUUGAAUAAGCUGGCACCUUGACGGUACCUAACCAGAAAGCCACGGCUAACUACGUGCCAGCAGCCGCCGUAA